ensembl:snRNA U6 U6 spliceosomal RNA
GUGCUCUCUGGGCAGCACAUACACUAAGAUGGGAACCACACAAAGGUCAGCACGGUCCCUGCACAAGGGUGAUAUGCAUAUCCAUGAAGCAGUCCUUAGCAAC